UACGUAGGGGGCGAGCGUUAUCCGGAAUUAUUGGGCGUAAAGAGUGCGUAGGUGGUCUUGUAAGCGUGGGGUGAAAGGCAGUGGCUUAACCAUUGUUAGCCUUGCGAACUGUGAGACUUGAGUGCAGGAGAGGAAAGUGGAAUUCCUAGUGUAGCGGUGAAAUGCGUAGAUAUUAGGAGGAACACCAGUGGCGAAGGCGACUUUCUGGACUGUAACUGACACUGAGGCACGAAAGCGUGGGGAGCAAACAGGAUUAGAUACCCGCGUAGUCCCU
rnacentral:rRNA from 1 species